ensembl:lncRNA
ACACACUUGUGUAACCCUGGAGAGUUACUAAGGGUUUUAGUGUGUUAUGAGUGAUGUUAGUAUUUUGAGUUCACUGUUAAGUUUUAUUAAGUUAAAUUAUUUUGUUGAGAAUUAAUAAAAUAGAAGAUGUCUAUAAUGUCCUGAUGGUCCUUGAAGUAUACAGGGGGAAGUACCGCCUCCUGCCGUUCACUGCAUAGCAGCUACGGAUAUCAGGAGAGAGGGAGAGGAAGAAAAGUCCGUUUUUCCAAGUGGAAAGCGUGGUUGUUUUUAUCCUGUACGGUGGAAAUAAGCUAUCUAGGAAUUGUUGUUACCCAGAAAGGAGUUUGUUACUGCUCGGAUUCUUCUGGUUGUGCUACAACGCUUCACCAUCGCCAUUUUGAAGCUCCAGGAGAGUCCAUUUUAUUGGUUACUUUGGUCAGGUUUUUUUUACUUGGGCGUACAGUUCAGUGAUGAUCCAGUCCAAAGAUGGCGAGCCACCCCUCCAGGACCCUUGAGAUGAUUGCUCUAGGAAGAGAACUAAAUUCUUUGGACGAACUGUGAACUGUACAAACUCUACUUAAGUGGUAGGACAGAUUUGC